rnacentral:lncRNA from 1 species
UAUAUAUAUAUAUUUCUAUUUUAUGUUAUAAUUUGAUUAUGUUUUCGGAUCGGAUUGUGUCAAUACGCCGUUUUCACAUAUACGUGUAUGAGGCGUGACAUUUGUGUUAUCCGAUUCAGUUGCGAUGAUCGCAAUUUUGCGCUAGCAACGCCGUUGUUUUUUUUUAAUUCAUAUUUUUUUAUAUAUACAUAUAUUUAGAUCUGCACAUUUUUUUUCAUAACUAACUACCCUGAUUUUUCCUAAACCCUGACAAUUUCGCCACAAACUCUAAAUUUCAAAUCUAAAACUUUAACUGUGUUGUUUCCUCUAAAUCAUAAACUUUUUCUUAAACCUUAACAAACCUUAUUAUUAUUUCCUAUUUUCGCUCAUAUUUAUGUUAUUCAUACACUGUAACUGCUUCG